AGAAUCCAACAACGGUACAGUAAAUCUUUCAUGAUCACUAUGCUUCCCACUACCGCCGCCAAACAUAUUCUCACUCACGUGGACUUCUUCCUCCACGUCACUAAUAUCGCUGUAAUGUUGCUGAAGAAGAUCCCUUUCCUCCACAGUUUCCAGUGCUGUGCAUAGAAUUUCAUCAUCUUCAGAUUUUUCACUUAUUGUCAAAAACUCACACUGUGAAGCUGGAAUCAACGUAUCGUCGCUGUUGGUCCCACUCAUACCUGCUGCGUAAUGAAGAGACAUGUGCGCGGAGACCAUGUGUUUGUAAAGAACGCUUCCUCUUGGU